rnacentral:lncRNA from 1 species
CAUGCAUGUAUAUUUAUUCCCAAAUAAAAAUAAAUAUUUUUUUUCUCACGCAUAAUAUCUGCAUCGGUCAAUUUUUUUAUCACAUAAUAUCCAUGAAUUUUUUAAAUAUCUCAACAUAAUUAUAGAUGAUUUUGAAAUAAUUUUUCUUUCAUUAUAGGUAAUUUUUAAUAAUAUAGCAAAAGAUAUUAAUUUUUUGCCAUUAGAUCUUAUCUAAUGAUUGAAAAUAAAAAUAUGAGUUUUACUCUUUUUUUCGCAACUAACUAUUUCAAAUAAUUCACAAUAGAUUUUUGCUUAUUUCGCAACCAAUAAUUUUAAAUAAUUAAUUAUCUGCCAAUACAAAAUUUGAGUUUGCAACAGAUUAUUUUCACCGCGAAAAAAUAAUUCGCAACAGAUUAUUGUGUAUUUCGCAACCAAUAAUUUUAAAUAAUUAAUUAAAUCAAUAAUUUUAAAUAAUUCGUAACCAAAUAUCUAUAUUUGAGUUUGCCACGUGGCAAGCAUAUAGAAAGCCACGUAUCAGCUUCUCACAUAGGGUUCAUUAAGGGUUCUACUUUUAUAUAUAGUAAUAGUAAUAGAUUGCAUACAAUUU